UCUCAGUUCGGAUUGGAGUCUGCAACCCGACUCCAUGAAGCUGGAUUCGCUAGUAAUCGCGCAUCAGCCACGGCGCGGUGAAUACGUUCCCGGGCCUUGUACACACCGCCCGUCAAGCCAUGGAAGCCGGGGGUGCCUGAAGUGCGCUGCCGCAAGGAGCGUCCUAGGGUGAAACCGGUGACUGGGGCUAAGUCGUAACAAGGUACC
rnacentral:rRNA from 1 species